GGGGGCGAAAGGUAUCGACCGGACAGUAGUGUCAAUGAUGGCGUGCCGACCUGCCAAACAAGUCGUUAAACUGAGUGGCAAAAAAUCAAAUGCUGAGAACUUCAAGUUCCCAACAGCCGGUGGCGCAAGCCUUCGGUUGGCUGCCUAAUUAAACAGGCAACCCGGUUCCCGCAGGAAGUCCGCGGCUUGUGGUGAACUGACGACCAGCGGAAUGCUCGGAUGGCAACGUCUGUCGGCCAUUCGCUAAGACUCAGGAUGGGCUGGAAUUUCCGGAAGUCAGACUGUCGGCGUCCGGAAGUUUGACAUGAACAGAUAGUCUAUGCACGUAGAGGUUAUCGUCAACCUGCCACGGGACGAGGGUUCGACUCCCUCCGCCUCCAAAU
rnacentral:tmRNA from 1 species